UCAAUUUGCUACAGGACAUUAAAUGCAUAAAAUUAGUAGUAUGGGAACAGAUAAUCAGCCAACGAUAUUAUUGCAUUGUUUAUUCUCUCCCGCUUUAUAUAAUUUUUUUUUUUCAUAUCGGCCACGACAGCCUCUGAACUGGCUCUUUGGCGACACAGACAUCAACUGGGACAGGUCUCUCAGAGACUAAUAGUUCAAGGACUUGGAGGGACUAAAUCCUGCAAUGGUCCAGUUGAUGUCGUACGCAAAGUUAUGAAGGCUGAAGGAUUUCGAGGUAUGUAUAGAGGCUUUGGAUUAACAGCCCUGACACAGUCUCCAGCAUCUGCACUUUGGUGGGGCUCAUACGGUGCUGCCCAGCACAUCAUUUGGAGGAGCUUGGGUUAUAGAGAUGAUCUUGAGAAUAAACCUUCUCACAUGGAGAUGGUGACGGUUCAGGCUACAGCAGGAAUGGUAGCCGGGGCUUGUUCAUCAGUGAUCACUACUCCUAUAGACACCAUAUAGACAAGACUUCAGGUUAUUGACAAUUUUUAUGGUGGAAGACCAUCAGUGAUGAAGACUAUAAACACACUUCUCCAGGAAGAUGGGUGGUGGGAUUCUAUAGGGGGAUUGGACCUCGAUUCCUGAACAUGUCACUCUACGGAACUACCAUGAUUGUAAGAUACGAACUAAUAAAGAGAUUAUCGGUGAAGCAAAGAUGAUUUCAGUGAAAGGAGCAGAACACUUUCUCUAUGUUGUGCACAUGAAAAAUCUUGACCAUGGAUAUAAUUUUUUGGUUGGUAUUUUUGGAGCUUUUAGCGACUACUGAGUAAAGAAUCCAAUUAGAUAUCAUGUUGUUAGAGCGGCAUGGUUCUAUAGUCGGCGGAAAUACUUAAGUAGUGGCUUUCUUUUAUAGUUUCUUUGUGAAGUAUAUAAUCAACUUGGAUUUUUAAUAGGUAUUAAGUACAAGUCGCAGUAGAACUCAAGUGAGUAAUAUUUGUUUUGUUUACUAGUUUAGUCAUUAAUUUCAUUCAUUGCUUACCAGUACAUAACCG